AUGCGAGAUUUUCGUAAUUGUUUGGGAGAUUGUGGACUAGCAGAUAUGGGAUGUGUGGGUGACUUAUUUACAUGGAGGAGGGGCGAAAUCAGGGAAAGACUUGAUCGAGCGGUCUGUAAUGUGGAUUGUGCGAAUAAAUUCCCUCGAGCGGCGAUUAUAAACGAAGAGCAUGUACACUCAGACCAUCGCCCUAUUAUUUUAGACACGGAGUAUUUUGACGAUAAUAUUUUUGACAGCUCAAAAACUCGAAGGAGACAAUUUGAAGCUCGAUGGCUGAAAGAAGAGACGGUUACAGCAGUUGUACGUACAGCUUGGGAAAAAGCGAAGAUGUUGGGCAUAGGGCCGUCUCUCGCUGAUCGUACACGAGCGGUACACGCAGAUUUGCAUACUUGGGAUCGUGAUAUCCUCAAGGGUCCGAAAAAAGAAUUAAAAAAUUAA
rnacentral:rRNA from 1 species